rnacentral:tRNA from 1 species
GGUCCCAUAGUUAAAAUGGAUAUAACGGGUCUUUCCUAAAGAUCUGUUCCAAGUUCGAUUCUUGGUGGGACCGCCA